GCCCGGGUCGCUGGCAGGGGCCGGCCCCUUCGCGGCCGGUGGGCGCCGAGGACGGGCUGCGGUGCCCUGCCGCCUUCGGGACCGGGCGAUUCCUCCGGGCUUCCACCUCCUUCUUCCCCACUGGGGUGCUCGCUCUCCUUUCGCCCCCUUUUUGUCCUUCUCGCCCUUUACUCUCGCUGCUCCAUGGGGCCGAAGGAGGGGGCGAGGAGGUCCCCGUGGAGCCGGUGCGAGCAGAGGGCGGGCGGGCGGCUGCCGGAGCUGGCGCUUCUCCGCGUCCGUCCGGACUCGGUGCUCCUCGGGGGCGCUGCCGCUGCUGCCGUUCGGCGCUCCCGGGGCGCGGGGAGAAGCUCUCAGGGCCGUCGGGGAUACUCCGCUCUCUCCGGCUUCGAGCGCUGUCAGUGCCGGGACGCCGGGCUGGCUCCUCGCUGCCAGGCGGGCAGCAGACGGGUUAUUAGGGUUAUUAGUGUUAUUGUCAUUAUCUCUCCCUUCCCCUGUGGUUGUGUGUCUCUCCACCACUUUCAGACCAGCCCAUUAUAACGCCGGCGAGAGGCGGAGCCAGGACAAAGAUCUGAAAGGGUGGUGGGUGGAGAAGCAAGGUAGCCAAGGUCCCUCCCCUUCCCGGGUAUUUCGAACGAAGCCGCAGUUCGGCGCGACUAAGCAAAGCCGGCCCGCCUCCCAGGUGUAAAAUGCAGAAUGACUUAUAGGUGGCAGAGCUGAACCUGUUACGUGCAGUGAUUUAUUUUAAUAGCGCCGUAUAAAGCAACAAGUUGUAAUAUGACAGCUCAACAACCUGUUGGAAAAUAAUACAUGGCUUUGCAGUUGUGAAUUCCUAAUGAUUUAUGUAGCCUGACAAAACAGUUUCAGUCCUGGUCUUCUCUUUCCUUCUGUCAUAAGCACACCUGGUGCAGAGGUAGAGUGGGAACAGGUAGGCAAUGCUUUGAAGUUUUGCUAUGAGAGAGUUAGACAAAGCCUUAACCUCAGUUUUAUGUGUCUCUUUCUGUAGUAGCAUUGCUUAAGCUCUUCUGGAUGGUGUGUUUGUAACCUCUCUCUUACAACUGACACUCUCUAGUAAAAUCUUGUAUUGUGUAGGUUUUGGGUUCGGGUGUUUUUAAUGGUAACUUUAACAUUUUUAAAUCACCGCGAGUCUGUAAAUUUCCCAUAAUACUUGGGACUAUGUAUUCUGCAAUUUUACCUAGACACUCUCCUUCUUUAAAAAAAUUAGUCAUACUUUUUGGGUUUCUUUUUGGGUUUAAGUUGUCAGGGUUUUGGGGUCUUGCCCUCCUUCAGAGUUUUUUUUUUCCCUCUCCUUCAACAUUAUGCUAGGCAGAAGAAGUCAAUGAAGAGAGCUAGCUGGCAGCAGCUUCUCUGAAAACUCUCUGUUCUGCUCACUGUUCAGAGUUCAUUGCAAAAUUCCAUUUCACUUCACAUGGCAGUAGCGCUGGCGUCUGCAAAACAAUAACAAUAACAUCAGCAGAAAUCCAGUGUGGUGCUUAUGUUUUAUUUCUCAUAUGUAUGCUUUGAAUUUUGUGUCCUGGAGUAAGAGUUGGAUUGCUCCAUAUUUUCCAAAAGCAGUCUUUCUAAAUCAGACCUUAUUUUAGAAUAAAUACAUAAUGCAGAGUCACUCUGGUUAGAACUAUUCCACUAUGGUCUGGCUCUCAAGGAGUAUUGGAGAGGAAGAUGAAAAAAACGCAGGUUUAAAAGACUAAGAGGAGAAACAAACAGCCCUACUUUCUAUCUUGAUCUCUCUUGAACAGAAUAUAUGUUCCCCCACACACACCUGCAUUUUGCUUCAAAGCUUUGCCAUUUCUUCUGUCUGCAUGAGUUUACGUGGUAAAUACUGAAGAGUGAGGGGUUCUUAUGUCCCCCUUUUGAAAACUUUAACGGAAAUAAUAAUACCCUGGAUGUCUUGCUGUUCUCACAAAAGCUGUACCAGUUGAGAAAAGCAGGCAAUUCAGAAAGACAAAAAUAAGAGGAGGGAGACCUCUCUUGGUUCAUUGUUGUUGUUGUCUCCAUGUGAUGUAAACUGAAAUCCUUCAGUAAAGUGUUGUCUUAGCUGUUGGUGCCAAUGUUUGUGUUUAAGGGUAUGGGAAAAAGGUAUCAUUCCUUCCAAAACUCAUAUUUUCUAUGAUGAUGCCAAUGGCAAGGGUAGGUUUGUUCCUCUUCCUGCUUUUGUUGUAAAUAGCAGUGAAGUAGCUAUGAUUUGCUAGCUUGCCUUUGAUGUUUAUUUUAUUACCGUUCCACUAUUUGUGUGGAAAAUGUACACAUUGUCUCUUAUCUUUAUUCAAAGAACUUAAAAAGUCAUUCAAAUGCUGUAGGUAAACACGUCAGACAUAACAGAAGCUUUUUCACAGCCAUACUUCAAGACUAGGAGUGGAUGGCAAAGCUGGUUUUGCAAGAUUCAAGAGGGGACAGAAGCUUGUACUCAAAAUAAUACAAAGAUAGCUAUUAAUGGGUGGGAGCAGGGAACCUUUCUGAGAUCAGCGCUGAUUCUUGUUGUGGCUCAAGGCCCCUUUGCUAUCUCUGAGCCAGUGCCUGUUGUAAACUCUCCCUUGAAAUCUCUGGUGGCUCUGACCUGAGAAAAUAUAUGAAAAGUGCUUAUGAAAGGUCUGUGCUGGGUUUAAACAGAGCCUUCCUGGCCUGAAUGAGAGCAAUAUCAAGCCCAUUGCUAACGCUGCCAAUGAAACACAAGCAAAGUUGUAACAAGUGGUGAAAUAAUCCAACUACUCCCAUCUCUCACCACUGAGAGUAUAUGUAACCUCAAGUCUUUUCCUGCUAUAGUUUUUAAAAAGGCACAGUAUCGCCUUCAGGUUUAUAAAGAUUAACACAAUCAUCGGAAAAACUGAUUCUGUUAAGUAAACUUCACAUCAAAAGCACUUUGAUGUGCUGUAUUAUAGCAAAGCCAAACACCCCACCCCCAUCACCCCAAGAAAAACCUCCAAAAACCUCCAGUGAAGCAAGGUAAAAAAAAAUCUAAUUCUUUGUUCUAAAAUGAAAUGUCUCUUCCUCUUUAGAUCAGCAGAGUAGGACUUUUUUGAUGUACAAUCCCCUCUUUUCCUACCCAAAACAGUAUCCAGUCAAAGACAAACGGAGAAACGUGAAUGGUUGCUUGAAAACCAUGCGAUCAGCUUUGCUUCCCAUUUUUUGUAGUAUUUCACUCAUUUAAUUCAGAAAUAGUCUGCCAAUGGGUACUUGGAAAUGAGGUUGUAUAGUCCUUUGCAAUUUGCUCAAGCUACCAAUUACAAAAAUAUUCUGUACUAAAUGUAGAAAAAUGCUUUGCUGUCUGGUGGUUGUGAGUGUAUUUUUGGUUGAUCCAUGUUGUCUCCAUGGUAUUUUAAACCAUGGAGAUAUGUGUUUUUUAGUUCAGCAAACAUUGUUCAAAGGUGUGUCACGAUAUGUUCUUGGUUCAAAUUCUUUUUAAAAAUUAUUUCUUCUAGUUUUUUUUCUUUUUUUUUUUUUUCACCCAAUUCUUUCUUACUUCUCUUUUCUGCCUUCAGUCUCUCCAGAUCUCUAACUAUAGAAUAGAGAGGAGGGUUUCCAAGUAAGGUCAUAUAAGAACAACUGGCCAGUAAAAGUCUCUGUGGUGUCUGGAAAGUCCUAUAGUUAGUGGCAGGCAAGCUUAUUUGUGCACCUGACAUGUCCAGCACAGCAGCUGGACAAAGUGCUCCAUCAUCCCUUCUCCUCCUGUGGCAAGCUGCAGGAGUGCCCUGCCUUGCCAGGAGCGAGCAGCCUGGACAAUGCAAUACACGACGUGAGAAACAAUGGAGCAGUUCAAAGAGCUCGCUCUGGACGGGCUGCUCGCAGCAGGAGAUGUGCCUAGCAUGCAUAAAUGAACUGCAGGCUGUGAGGGCUGGCUAAUUGCACUAUGUAUAUUUUUGUAGUUGAAGGAAAUCCAGCUAGAGACCAGCCAUAAGAGAGGAGGUUACUGGAAAUUCUUUUAGACCUUGAGAGGAAGAGUUUGAUCACUGAAGCAGAAUGCAUGUCUGCGUGAAUUCCCUCAUUGGGAAAGACCGGCACUUUUUCAGAAGAACAUCCAUUCCCUGUGGGCAGAGAUUUUCUUGUGUCUUUGGCAGGUACUAAGAGCUGAAUUUACAAUGGGGAGUUCCAUUUCAAUUUUGUUUCAUGCAGUCUUUAUUUUCUUGGGAGACAUUACUCAGAAUGAAAUUUUCCCAUGCUGAGAGCUUAGUAUCACUUCCUCCCUGUGCCCACUGCAUGUUCCAUAAAAAAUGUGUGCAUCUAAGCAAAUUUUUUUUUUCUCCAGAGCCAUGGAUUGUGACAGAAUGGGCAGGCACAGAUGUUCUCCUGUGAAGGAAGUGACAUUAUUGUUCUUGUUUUAAUGCUUAGUAUUGGAGAAAAAAAUCCAGAUUCUUACACCAUCCUUUUCACCAACAAAUCUCAGAGCUCUCCCAUUUUACAGGUGACAAGGAAUGAUGGCGAGUCCUGCUGAAAAUAAUUUGGUAAGUCAGUUGCAACCCUGUCUGUAGAACUGAGCUCUCUGGAGCCCUUGUCCUGUGCUGUGUCCACUGAGGUAUCCACCACAAGGCCUCACUGGAAAGUGCUGUACUAUUUAGCAAGGAGCUGUCAAAAUGGAGCUUGCUCUGUCUCAAGACUCAGAUAAUUUAUAGCUAAUUCUUGCUUUUUACUAGUGCUGUGUUAAGCCUCCAGGACUUGAAUGAGGUUCCACACUGGCAUAAGAUGAACCUCUCUGGAGUAUAUUGCAGGUUUGCAGUCUGAGAAAUACGUGACAUAAAAGAGUGCAGGGUGAGGUUAAAUCAACACAGUAUUUACAACAUAUUUUGUGAUGACUUAAUUCAGUAACUGUCCCCAAAGGCUUUUCUCAUGGCUGAUUACCGGGUUUCAUGUAACUGCACCACGAGAGACAAAAUCCAAAUGGUGGAUUUCUUGUGGAUCUCUUCAAGAGAUCCUUGUGGAUCUCUUCAAGGAAAUUUUUCUUACAGUAAGGAGGAAACUGGUAUUGGAAAGCAGCAUGUGUAUUGAUAAUCCUGGAUAUAUAAUUGCCAGGAGGGAAUUGCUUGCUAAGGGGCAGGCUCCACUGCAAUUAGAAGUUACGCUGUGUUACGCUUGUUAUGAAGUUAUGAUGCAGAAGCCAUUUGGUGAAAUUCUGUGGCUCUCUGCCAAGCAUAGUGAAUGGUUUUUGCUACUGGUGCCAAACAAACUUAAAAAGAAACCAUCAUAGCUUGUUUUUGCUGGUGCCAGACCAAAUAUCUGUUGGCAUCAAACUUGGUAUUGAUGCCAGAGGCUUGCUAUCACUGGCCCGUGAUAUGAGGAAACACCAGCUGAGCUGUUACAAUAGCCUCUCACUGCCUUCAAAUCCAUGCAUUGAUGGAGGAAAGUGAACAACCUUGUGAGAAGAGAAUUACAGCAAAGUUAACUAAGGGAUGAAGGACUUAGAAUAUAUGAUGGAGACUCACUGAACUUUGCUAGCCCUUGCUGGAGUACACCUAAGCCAACUCAAACCCACAUAUAUUUUACAUGGGUAAAUAGUGACUUGAGAUAUGAAGGAUAUGUUUCAAUUCAACGAAGUUAAAGUACUAUUUAUAGCACUGUGGAUCAACAAAUUAAUCACCUUGCCAAUAAUAUUCCAGUUGAACAGCAAUAAGUAUUUAACAUUCUUACUUCUGGGUUGGAUUUCUUUUGUUGUUUCUUUGCUUUCAAAAAGUUAUUUCUGGGUGGAAUCCCAUGAUUUAUAUAGGCCUUAGCCAAAUCUAUGAAUAAAUAAUGGUGUGAAAACCUUCUUGAUUUUUAUUUUUUCCAAGGCAAAGUGAAAUGCAUUAUAAUGGAGCUAUUCGGGAGCAGGCUGCUGACAGUCAGACUUUGCUGUGUUAGGCAGGAUUUGGCAGUACUACCCUGAAUUGUACCUCUCUGCUGCAUUUUCUGUCCUCUGUUUGCUGUGUUCUGUUUUCCUUCUCUGCAGCCCUCCUGGACAGCUCCAGAACCAUUGGAAUCUUUGAAAAUCUGGUCCGCGCUGCUGCUGGCUUACUCCUGGAACAGAGAGCAGAGUUAUACCGAGGGCGCAUCCACUGCAGUACCUCAGGUGGCGAGGGAUGGGGAUUUAUCUCCUGCAAACUGGUUCUAAAAAUCGAGCAUGUUUUCACCACCUUUCAAAGAAAUGUAGCAAAUACUUGGAGAGCUGGUCCUUCUGUUGCUGCAGAUGUAAUAAAAUCAUUACUUAGUUGAGUUGCAUGCACUAUGUAUUUGAUUUUCAGUUCCUAGGUGAGUUCUUAAGGGAUUAGCUGAGUUUCAGUCUCUUUAAGGUGUGAAUAAACAUCCUGUUGCCUCACACCCAUGAAAUUUCUUCCCGACAGUUGUCAGAGUGCUUUGUGCAGAGUGUUGCUAUUUUGGUUCUCUAAGUAAAGGUUCACAGGGUUUGAAUGUCUUGGCCAAACUUACAUGAUCUAAGAUGGGAAUGGAACAUGGGUUUCCUAAUUCCUUCACUACUUCUCUACCUACUAACCCUGUUGUUUCCCUGAACCUUUACAUAUACUUUAGUAGAUUAAUAAUUAACCUCCAAGUGGGGCACUUUGAAGCAAAUGUAAAAUGAAACCAAACACUUGUCAUGGUUUUUAGUCAUACCAGAUUUGCAAGUAGGGUGUGUUUAAAUGAUGCAAGUAGAUAAAGUCUUGUUAAUUUAGAUUAGAGUAAAAGUCAGUGCCUUAUCAAAGCAAGUGACUAAUUAGGAAAACUAUUACCUUUUGGAAAAGAAACAGUUGAACUAUCACUCAAAAUUAUUUUAACUAAUUGAACUAUGCAACUGCUCAGGCUCCUGCAACUGCUGAGAAAGAGGAAAGACAGAGAGCUUUUCCCAGGAAUUGCCAGUGUUCUGGGGACUUUUUGAUAAUUUUGCUUUUAGAAAGUUAACAAUACUUGUCAUCACUGCGUAAACAAGGAGAAGGGAGGAGAGUCCCACGAGUCAUCAAGGAGCCAAAUAUACAGAAUUUAAGUGAAGAACUGGAGCAUUUGUACUAAAUACACUGCCUUCAUUCUCUUCACCUUACUGAGCCAACAGGACAGCAAAGUGCUUGUGAAUGGUUUGAAAUGAUGAAGUGAAUCUCAGGUCUGUAAUAACAGACAUUGGGCAUUUGGGAACCUGCAAGGGUGGAAACAGCAGGGCAAAUUCAUGGUGUGAAAAGAAAGAUUACGAUCAGACUGUAUUUAUGUUCAGACAGAUACAUGCAAUUGUGAAGAAUCAUUAAAUAACUGUUAACCACACCUGCACAGAGCCUCUGGCAAUGCUGGCUUAUACGGAAUCUCAAGAGCUGCCAUGUGCCUGACGUCAUACCUUCGCAAGGAGAGAAAAGUCUUGGGUGUUAGCCCAAGACUGGUAAGUAAAACAUAGUCCACGGAUUUGUGCCAGUUUAAUGUCUGCAAGUGACUUUGUGGUGUGUCACACCCAGUAUCUUCUGCCCUGUAAACCUGUCAGUAGUCCUGAUUGCUUAUGACCAGGUCUUACUAAACAUCUCCAAAUCUGCUUUAAUGCAAUGGCUCCUUCCCUCUAAGUCAGUCAGGACUGUGAGGAGGGAGUGGGUGAGUAUGGGUGCACAGAGGGAGUCUAGCACAAUCAGGAUCCUAACUUUUCCGGGAUUGUAAUUUCUACUGUGGCACCAGAUGCUGCUUAGGGUUUCUUUUUACACGGAUCAUUUUCCAUUUUAAAAAUAUUGGGAGGUUUUGACAUUUUUUUUUUUAUUAUGGAAAUGACAUUUCAGAACCUUUUUAUUUUUACUGUAAAAAAAAAAAUAAUGGAAAUAUAUGGGGGAGGGAAUCAGGCAGGUUAAACGUAGCAUAGGAAAAAGAAAAGGGAGCAAAGCUGAGAUGAAAAGGGAGCAAAGCUGAGAUGAAAAGGUGAAGAUGAGGAGAAAGUUGGAGUAGAGAGCUCCACCUGAGAACACAUUGCACAGCAGUUCCAUUUAGACAUUAGAAAAUUUUCAGGAUGCCCAACAAUGUCCAAUUUGACUGCUUCUGCUGGUGUAAUUUUUUGGACUGCUCACCUCUACAGCUUUCCUCAGGCUAGGGAGUUCUCUGGCUUUUCUUUUCCCAUGGUGCUUUUGGAAGUGAUUGUCUUUCAUCUACAUUUUGUCUCUUGGAGUAUACUUUUCCAGUCUUUCAUGGCUAGGGGUGGUUGAGGAGCGGAGGUGGUUUUGGUUUUUUUUUGUGGUUGAUUUUGGUUUUGUUUUGUUUUACAUGGAAUAAAAAUUACAAAAAAAAUAAAGCAAAAGUGAAGGUUGAACAUCAGUAUGUAAUUCCUAAAGGGGCUGGGGUGCUUCAGUUUGAAAGUUCUUUCUGCUUGUCAUUUCUGUACAAAAUAUUUUCUCCUUUUAUUUUUUUUCCUAGUGAAAAUAUCUAGCAACUGUUAAGAACAGGAGAUUGUGAACAAGAAACAGAGCAUGACAUUCACAAAGGGUUUCAAAGAUCUGCAGACUUCAGUAUUCAUUUAUGAGCUCUGGCACCUGACAUUGAUGGAUCAGGCGAUGGAGAUAUUUACUCAUCAUUUAUGAGAGUUCUUAUUCAUAGCUUGAUUUAUUUAUGCCAUAAGGGUUUGGAAGACAGUCCGUUUUUACCUUUUCCAUCUGACACACGGUCAGUGCCAAGAAACUCAACAUGGCCCAACUCAACACAGAUUAAAGAUUUUUUUUUAAGAGUUAUCUAAGUGGUGUGGGGAAAAUGGCCUCCUCCAGUGCUACUUUAAAAAAUAGUCAUCUCUGUGAGUAAAUCUUGGUGGCUUGGAUAGAGUUUAUGUUGAAGGCAGGAUGUAACACCCAGUACCCUCUUGACCCUACUCUAGCUUUUUAAUAUACUAUCACUAAAGUUUAGCGCCAUGAGGAAAAUUGGGGUAGUCAGGUGCAGAGGCAAACUGAAUAGGCGAGGCUUUCACUCCAGUGGGCCUGGCAUUCAAACCUUCAAGACUUUGUCAAGACCCGCGACUAUUCCCAGCUGAGACGUUAAUUAAAUGGUGUUGGAUAUGAGAGUAUUCUAUUAUACUGGCUUGUGCUGCUGAAAGAAAUAGUGCCGUGCUUCUUGAUUGAAGAGACAGAGUCAAGUGAAUAAUUCGCAACAAAUAAUUAGUCUAAAUGUUCCUAGGUGAUUCUUACAGAAUCUGAGUCUGGUUGAGAAAGAUCCCUAUUUAUUAAUGUCAUAGGACUCCCUUCCACAAGGGGAAAGUUUAUUUAUAUAAGAUGAGUAAGUUAAAGUGUAGACUUGCAAGUUCUUCUUGAGUCAUCAGACCCAGAAAACACAUAUUUUAUAUUAAGGUUAGUACAAUCUUUCAAACAACAUUUAUGAGUGUGCUUUAACUGAUGGGUAUAUGAUGACUGACAUUCCAGGACCUCUUCUGCACACACCUACGCUGGCAUACUUUUAUGCAUAGGAGUAAUCCUAAUUAAUUUGGGAAAAUUGCUCUUGUGCAUGAAUGUAUUCAUUAGUGUUUGAAACACCACGGUAUGGUGAGUCUUCCAGAUACAAUCUUGAUCUUGCACUUAAAGGUGCCCACAAUGUCCCAUCCGGUCUUUAGGGCUACCUUAGCUCUAAUGAAAACAGGCCAGCACCUAGUCCUUCCCCUGAGGGCUUUAGCAUGGCUAAAUUCUCUCCCUUGCAAAGAAGUGGCCUCAUCUGUGCUGUCUAGAGGGAACUGUCCUUCACUGUGUUAUCUCCUGACCAGAGGCCUCUGUGUGGCAUGAGAAAGUGCUGGGUUAGAGGGACAGCCCUUGUCAGGAGGCUUAUUGCUAGUUAAAUAGUGUGGACGAUCACAUGCCAGCUUCUUGAGGGCAUGUCCUGGCUCUUUUUAAUUUGCAAGAUGCCAAAUGUAACUUAAAUGAAUAUUUGGGUUCAUUUUAUGCCUUGAAGCUUUGAUAAGGUAUUAUUGCUCCCAUCUGCUCUUGACAGGAAAGAGCAGCACUGUUGUUCCCUUCAGUAGUGUAAUUUUGUGGGUGUAUUAGCUGGGUUUCUGUCCCAGUGAAGCUGAAAAGUUUUGCUCAAGAAAAUUGCAGGAAAACAGUCUUUUUCUGCAUAUUUUGAGUCUUCCUUUUCAGAGGUAAGAUUUGAUGCAGCCUAAUUUUUUUUUUUAUAAACACCAUUUCAGUUUGUUACAAGUAAACUAUUGGCCAAGUUAUUAAAGUGUUCAAAAGUUAUAGCAUUAGAAAGAGUGGUUUUAUUUUAAACAGUGGAGAACACUGAUAAUUUCACAGGCAACGAGAAAAUAAAGCCAAAGAACCAAAUAUAUAAUAGUCAGUUUGAACUGAAAAUUUGUACCUUUAAAGAUUUCUAAGUAUGUAGGUUCUGCUUUGCAGAUAGUAGGUUCUCAGUGAUGCUGCCUGAAAUUUUAAAUGCCUGCACAUGUUGUCACACCAGGGAAUUAUAAUCUCAUCCCAAAACAGGUGAAUGUAGUUGAUGAAGUGAUUUUCACCCUGUAGUACUUAUUUCUGUCAGCUGAAAGGAAGUCUAAGUUUUCCUAGGUGACCACCUGGGAUGCAUUACAGAGCUCUGAAAAGCUCUUAAGGUCAAUUUCAGUUGAUCUGUCUUCUCUUAUGAAGUACCUAAAAUGGAGGUUCCUCGGUUUUUAAUGCUUGAGAUACUCUGCUCAUUAGUUAAGAUUAUUUAUUAAGAGAUAAUUUAUGUAAGGUAAUUGAUUGUGAAAAGAAAAGUUACUUUCAUCAUUAAAUCAAACUUCAUCCUGACGUUAAGAUAGGAUUUAGCAUGCUGAGCUAGACAAAAACAUUGUGUAAGGUGAGAGGGAUUGCCCCUCAAAAUUUAUUUGCUGCUUAAGUGCUGAACACUGUGUUCCACCUCAAGCAUUGCAGAUAUUUUCUUCCUUUACCUGGCUGCCACUAGUUUAUAGUCCUUUCUGCUAUUACUUGUGCGGAAGAAUGUUUCCCAUCAGGCUAUUUUGUAACAUCUUUCUGCGAAGUGCUUGAACAUUAGUGCUUGCUCCAGGAAAAGGUGAGUUAAGAUAUGUUUUUAUGAGUCCUGCUAGCUGCCUUGCUUCAUCAAUACUAAAAGGGAUGUCUUUAUUGACACUGAGUGCUUUCCAAAAUUGUUCUUUCCACCAUUACUGAUGUGUUGCUUAAGCUUUCUGCACUGAGUUUUGUGUUGUUUGUGUUGCAUUGGUUGAUUACCUCCUUCUGUUAACUUUCCAUGCACAAUUUAAUUAAGCUGUGAAUAAUGGGAUGUUUUAUCAGAUGGUACAGCAUUAUUAACUUCAGUGAAGUGUUGUGUGAUGAACCAGCUAAAGAUCUGGACAAUCAUUUAUACAUUCUUCCCAUUUAACUGUCAGUGCAUUUUGGAUGAAGAUAGCUACCAGCAUGUGUGAUUGCAACCCUGCUGCUGAAAGAGGUGUGUCUGUUUAUGCCAGCAAAGUGCUUGACUGUUGGUAUAAAUAUAAUGGCAUGGUAAUUACUGGUUAUAGAUACAAGGAAGAUCAAACUUCCCCCCGCCCCCCAUCCAGAAACAUUCUUCCCGUCUUUUUGUAUAAAUAACCAAGAGUACAACAUUUCAGAGUUAGAAAACUGAGUGGAACAAGACAAUCAUAAUGAUUAAUUUCUGCAAAUAUUUUUCUAUGUAUUAAUUGCCCACGCACUGUAAACAGUAUUCUCAGGUGGCUCUCUAUACAAAUUAUUAAUGACUUAUUUUAGCUAAAAACCAACAACAACCAAAGAACCUCUUUAUAAUGUCUGUAAUGUGCAUACUUGCUAUUUGUAUAAGCAAAAUAGUGUGGUUUCUUUCCUCUGAUUAGAUAACUUGUGGACCAAAUUAAUUCAAUGCAUAUGUGAACAACGGGGAAAAUUAGAAAAUAAUCUAUUGCCAACAAUAACUGCUUUUAAAGUUGUUUUUCUUAUGUAUCUGGAAAUUUAAAUAAGCCUAGUCUGAUUUCUUAGUAAAGCAAAUAAAAUGUACAUUUCAAUAGAAAUCAAACUACUCACAAAUGUUUUCAGAUGGAGGUUGACUUUCAACAGCAAAUGGCAAUGCAAAGUUUUCCUGCUCUUUUCAGUUCAUACUUCUGGCUCAAAGGUGUAUGCAAUGUGACACAACAUGUUGUGACUCCUCAGCGAAAUGUUGCAAUUCAUAUUGGUCAAAGUAUGCAGUGUUUCAGACCAGUGCAUAAUUUGUGAUUGCAACAAUCUCAGAGUAUAAGCAAUGGGAGCACAUAAAAUGUCUUCAGUGUUUCCAUCUCAUUCAUAAUUUUGACUCAGCAGUUCCAGCUGAUUAUUAGUAGUUUCUCCAACCAACCUGGAUUGGCUAAGGGAAUUCACUUUAACAUACUGAAGAGUAUUUUCAUUAAACUUGGCCUAUGUAAAACUGGCUUUCUAAAUUGAAUUUACUGAACUCAUCUUGGUGCCUUUGCUAUUGUGUAUUGCAUCAAGCAACAAAAUAAGCAAGAAACAAAGUGGUAAAAAAUAUUAUUUAAACUGGAAGCGAAGCAGAAUUCAUUAGAAGGAGAAUAUGGACCAUGCUCAUUAUAGGAUUUGCUAAUGUUCAUAAGUUCUUCUAACUAAAUUUAAUGUAUGCAAAUCAUUAUUUAUGAGCAGUUAUUAUCAACAAUACUAAUAACUUCUAUAGUACUAAUAAUAGCUAUCUGGGCUAAUUAACUGUUUUAAAUUGAAUUUUGUAAUAUUUGCAAUUUUUCCUCACUUUUAUGGGAACUAAAUAAAAUCACCCUCAUUGCUUAACACAACUCCAUACAGGACAAUUCUGGCUUUGGAGACACAAUUUGAAGCAGAAUUAAGUGGUGCUUAAGAAAGUUCUUGCUUGUGCCAACAAAAUAGAUAGAGGAAUAAAUUCAACAUAAAUUUAUUGAACAUGUUUUCUCUGUUAGUAUGAAAACAGUUCAUUCUGGUGAAAUGCAGAAGGCUCACUUAAAAGUUUUGUACUGUAUACGCUGUGUUUAGAUGGUUCCAAAUGUUGUGGGGGAAUGUUCUUCUUGUGUUGGUUCUUUUCUGUUUUUCUGGUUAGAAAGAAAAUGAUUUUAUGAUCUCUAGGCAGUUGUUUGCUUGGGUGUUUUUAUUAUUCUUUCCUGUUUGUGAGGGGGGGAAAAAAAAGAAAAGAAAAUUCUUGACCUUGCUAUAAACAGAAAGUAGAAGGCAAAUUGAUGGGAGCACAGAGAAGGGGAUCUCCUAGCUUUUACAGUUACAUCUUCAAAAUGGUUUAAGGAUGGUAGUAGUGUGUUUUAGUCUGCAGAUUCCAUGGGACCUCGUUCUAUUUGAACAAUGAGGUACCAUGUAUAUGUACCCUAUGCAAGGCAUAAAAAUAAGUGAAUGAUAGCAAUGCAGAUAAUAUUGCUUCUUAUAAAUAAUAAUUAAUGCUAAUUAAUGUUGACUCUAUAUAUUGUGGCUUGGAUGAAACUCUGGCAGGAUUGGCAGACAUGCUGAUAUGAAAUCUCCACCCACAAAGAUCUGCUGAAAGAGCAGUAUCUGGUGUAAGGGGACCUGCCCUUUUAAGUGCAAAGAAUACAAAGGUUUUCUAAUCGUUCUUCCCUUUUGCAGGGAAAACAAGCGUGUAGCUUUAGAGUCAGUCUGCAUACAAGUCUCCAGGAGCUACAGACAUGGAACAAAUGCAGGAUCAGAUCCUGUUCCUUAUGUAAGCUUAUAAGCAGUGUUGCACAUGCAGUGCAGUGUUCUCCAGUUGUACUGGCCCCAUCCCGUGUGAAGAUGUAGAUGCUGAAGCAUUUGUUGAGGACAGGCAAUGCCCUUUCCCAGACUGGGUGGGAGGCUGCUGAGCCAUGCUGCUGUGUGGCUGUUCUGCAAGAUGCAGGAAGGCAGGCUGCACAAACUGGUGCCAACAGGGAGGCUGACGCCUCCUCACUAGGCUUUGGUAAAUCAGUAUCUGCAAGUGUGGCCGCACAUAUGCAAACUAUUCUCCCUCUGCCACUUUCCUCCCACUCGGAGCUGCCUUCCUCCCCACACUGCCCUUGAGUCAAGAGGUCAGUGCUACCGCUUCUUUUUUCACCAGUCAUGCUUUUCCUUCUGCAUUUUAUCCUCUGGGUGUUACUUUCCUUCCUUCCAGUGGAGGGGCAGCAAGAGCCAUUUGGCUGAUUUAAUGUUUUUCUGGGAAGGAAAGGAUAAGACUUAAAAGACCAGGAUGGCUUCAGGCAAAAUGUGAUUUUACAGUCAAAAUUUUUUGCCAUAAAGGAGGGGAUUUUUCUUACAAGGGAGAGAAUUUGCCCCUGCAGAGCAGUUUUCCCCAUAUUCCUCUGAAACACAGGAAUCUGUGCGCUGUCGGUGUCAGGGAGGAUCAGGGAUGGAAUACCAGUUGCCAUCAUAAAAUAAUCCAGCUUUCCAGAGGGAGAGGAAGAGAAAGGGGUUGUGUGUGGCCUUGAAAACAAGAAGGAAAAGGAGAGGAGGAAGUGCCUGGUUGUUCCUGUCAUGGUGGGGAGCGUUGUGGGGUCCCUGGUGACUGUGUGAGCAGCAAACACGCCUGCUUAGAGCUGUAGACAAUUUGCAAGAGCAGCUCUGUGCCUGCAGCAGCUGCCUCUCGGUGGGUAAAUGCUAGAGAAGAACUGGGCCUGUGGAGCUGUAUUAACUGGCAUUUCAAAGGUGAGAUAUUCUGUUUUCUUGUUUGUUUAUUUGCUUCCCACUGGGGGAUCAGUUGUAUGUUGAGAUGGCUUGACUUGAUACACACCUCCUUAGCAAAUACGUUGAUUCAACGUUUAGGGGAUCACGUUUCUUUGUGGUGCAGAGUUAUUUAGUACAAUAUUUGUGGUAGGCUGAUGACACUUGUGAUGAUCAAAAAGAAUAACUUGUGUAUUUUUUUAAGAAUGUGUUAAACCAGUUCUGUCAAAAUAGAGACAAUAAAUACCAGUAAUUGUUCAGUCAGUUGAAAAGGAAUAAUUCCCCACAUUUUUUGAAACACAGUAGGUAAUGUUUUGGUUGAAUGUUUAUGAAGAACCUAUACUUAUCUCUUCAUUUCUUAAGCUGGGCAUAGAGUACUGUACUUGUUUUGUACGAUUCUGGGAUUGGAAAAACUGGACUACAUCCCUGGUCAUGACAGGGAAUGUCUGCAUAAAGUAGACAAACUUUAAAUGUUCAGAUUUCAUCUGCUGAACUGUUCUGGCAGGAGUGAAAUGCUAGGAUAGCAAAGAUAGACUACUAUAGGAGUCAAGAGUGAGACUUUUUCAGUUCAUGUUCUUUUCUCUUCUUUCUUUUUAGAUGUAUAGAAAGGACGACCUGGACUACACCUUCUUUCUUAAGCUGAGGAAGCUGGUAGGAAGGUGGGCAGGGACCAGGAGGAUGGCACAGGUUCUGCCAGUUUGGUGGAAGCUUGUUGGUGGAAAUCCUCACAGACCAGCUUGGGACUGAUCUUUCUUAACCAAGGCAUUUUCCUUAAUGCCUUGGGUGUAGAAGGUUGGAGCUGACUUAUGAAACUCUCUGCUGACACAAGAAAACAAGGCUUUGUCAAGGUUGAGAUCAUGUCCAAUUCUUCCCAUACAGGGAGUGUGAGGGCAGGAACAAUAAAAACAGACUAAAAUUUUAAUAGUUGAAAGUUUCUGCCUUUAGUGGAAAUGGCUGUUCCUAGGAAAAAGUGCAGGACAAGGUGGGAAAGAAAGUGGCAGAGAAAGAUUUGCAUAUGGUAAUUGACUAGAGAAUAACUGUGAGCUUCUGGUGCAAUCUGGGAAGAGCCAAAUGGAAAGAGAGUGGUCAUUAAUGAAUUAGGUUUGCAAUUAGGAGGUGACUAAAAAUCAGAUUCUGUUACAAUCUUUCAGCCGGAGUAGGAAGGGAAGCAAACCUAACUGGACCUUCAUGAGCUGAUGAACAGGGCUUUUGAUUCAGAAGUUAGAAAUAUCAACAUUAGCAUGAUGGCACAAGGCUAACACAGGUCUUAUUUUUCACUCAAAAAGGCAUGGGUGCAUUAUUUAGCUGUAGAGUGCAUAUGGAAUGGGAAAUUACUGUAGACAUUGCUGAUUAAAAGUCUGAAAGCAAACUAAUAUUGAAUGAUGAAAAUGUACCAUUUUAUUCAUCUUAAUUUUCAUUAAUUUCUCCAUGUAUGACGUAUUUUAGACUUUAUGGAACUUGUUAUUUAUAAUUGGUCUUGUGUCAACAAGCAGCGAAGAUCAGGCUGUCUGCCUUUACUGAGAAUUGGCUUAAUUUAGUAGUAGUACUUAGCAGCUAUGUAGCGCUUUAAAAUUUCAAAUAUUAGCUAAUUAGUCAUCACACCAAUUGCUUUAAAUACUAUCAGCCUUCUAGAACAAUGAGUAAAUAGCUGUUGUUAUCCAUAUUUCUGAGAUGAGGGAAUUCAGACACAGAUGGGCUGGUUAUGUCCCAUUGUGUAUAUAUAUAUAUAGGUAUUUCAAAGGCACAUAUAGUUCCAAGUCUAUCCACUUGUUAGCCCUGAUUUGGUGUCCACUGGUGCCAAUGGAAAUUGUUCUAUCAGCUUCAAAGGGUUCCCUUGCUGCCUAAUUGAAUUACCCUGCAGAAGCCAGCUUCCAAAUAUUACCCAGCUAGUAUGGUACACUUUGAGAUGGGUUGUGAUGAAAAGCACAUCUGCUCUGGCUGACAGAACCCUUACUGUGGUCACAGGGGACAAACAAGCACCUAAAGUGAUGAGGUUUGCUCAGCACCCAGUGAGCAAGUCCUAGAGGUGAGACUCCAUGUAAGCGGUUUUCUAGGAAAAUAAUAUAAGAGCUUGAAAAUAUUAAUUAUAAGAUGAUGAGAUUUUUCAUGUGUUCCUAAGCAAACACCACCUGUUGAUAUUUGGAAGAAGUAGCCAGGUAUUUUGACAGUCCCAAUAUGCAUUUCUCAGUCUAUUCAGACAUCCAGAUGACUUAAAAAAAUCAAUCUCUACACUUCAGUGCUAUGUGGGAGUUUAAACUUAGAUAAAAAUGUCUGUUGACCUUUUCCUGAAAACUCUAAAACUCAGCAAUGUUUUUUUUUUUAUGUUGCUUUUCAAAACCUGAAGUUCUGUGAAGAAGUAAAAAGGAAAGGAAAAAAUCUUAACCUCAAGCGUAAAGCUGAAAGAUCAUAGAAAUCCUUAGUGAUGUGGCCAGCAGCUCUGUAAUGUCACCUAAAUGUGACAUGCCUAGUCCAAGUUUGACCAGUUAUGGGCAGUCCUAUGGUUCAGUUGUGUUCCUUGAAAGAUGGAAAUAACCCUUCAAAAUUUAAGGAUCAUAUUGUUAUGUGUAUUAAUUCAAAGUUCUCAUUCCUUGAGCAUUUACAAUGCUUUACACAAGAAUUAUUUGUUUCUGCAAAUGUUCCUGCCCUUAAACUUAUUAGGAUUUGUGACAGCAUAAAAUGAAUUAAAAAAUGCCUUUAUAAAAUAUAUUAUUGAAUUCCUUUUGAUGUUAA